rnacentral:lncRNA from 1 species
GAAUAAAGUCUAUCUUUGCCACUGUAGUUUCUAGCUCUGAUUUUCUGACAACAUCCAGUGCCUUCUUUCUCAUUUCUAAGAACCAAUACUCAGAGAACACUUGCUCUUGUUCCAGAAAAUACAAGGCAAUUCUAUUUUUUUCAUUUGUCAUUCUUUCUUUUUUUUCUUACACUGGGGACUGAAUUCAAGGUCUUAUGCACGCCAAGCAUGGGCCCUACCUCUGAGCUCUAACCCCAGCCCUAAGGCGUGAAUGAAUUUUAAAGGUGUGACCCUUUUUUUUUUUUUUUUUUUUUUUUGGUGUGAUGACCCUUUCUCUACUCGUCACCAGCACUGCUCUGUUGUUGCUUGGAACCUCUUGGCCAAGCAACAUGAAAACAACAUUAGCUGAACUGUUGCAGUUAUUACUUUGGAUGGGAGACCAAUUGUGG